rnacentral:rRNA from 1 species
GGGGUCCUACGGGAGGCAGCAGUGGGGAAUAUUGCACAAUGGGGGAAACCCUGAUGCAGCGACGCCGCGUGAGUGAAGAAGUAUUUCGGUAUGUAAAGCUCUAUCAGCAGGAACGAGACAAGACGGUACCUGACUAAGAAGCCCCGGCUAACUACGUGCCAGCAGCCGCGGUAAUACGUAGGGGGCAAGCGUUAUCCGGAAUCACUGGGUGUAAAGGGAGCGUAGACGGCUGAGCAAGCCUGAAGUGAAAGGCGGGGGACCAACCCCCGGACGGCUUUGGGAACCGAAAGGCUGGAGUGCAGGAG